CAGCCGCCGCGGGAAUACGUAGGUGGCAAGCGUUGUCCGGAAUUAUUGGGCGUAAAGCGCGCGCAGGCGGAUCAGUUAGUCUGUCUUAAAAGUUCGGGGCUUAACCCCGUGAGGGGAUGGAAACUGCUGAUCUAGAGUAUCGGAGAGGAAAGUGGAAUUCCUAGUGUAGCGGUGAAAUGCGUAGAUAUUAGGAAGAACACCAGUGGCGAAGGCGACUUUCUGGACGAAAACUGACGCUGAGGCGCGAAAGCCAGGGGAGCGAACGGGAUUAGAUACCCGUGUAGUCCCUGUCUCUUAUACA
rnacentral:rRNA from 1 species